GACGAACGCUGGCGGCGUGCUUAACACAUGCAAGUCGAACGGAAAGGCCCCUUUGGGGGUACUCGAGUGGCGAACGGGUGAGUAACACGUGAGUAACCUGCCCUUGACUUCGGGAUAACUUCAGGAAACUGGGGCUAAUACCGGAUAGGAAUCCUUGCUGCAUGGUGGGGGUUGGAAAGCUUCGGCGGUUUUGGAUGGACUCGCGGCUUAUCAGCUUGUUGGUGGGGUAGUGGCUUACCAAGGCUUUGACGGGUAGCCGGCCUGGGAGGGCGACCGGCCACAUUGGGACUGAGAUACGGCCCAGACUCCUACGGGAGGCAGCAGUGGGGAAUAUUGCACAAUGGGCGGAAGCCUGAUGCAGCAACGCCGCGUGCGGGAUGACGGCCUUCGGGUUGUAAACCGCUUUCAGCAGGGGCGAAGCUUGUGGUGACGGUACCUGCAGAAGAAGCACCGGCUAACUACGUG
rnacentral:rRNA from 1 species